AACAGAAAGCAGCUUGCUGCUUUGCUGACGAGUGGCGGACGGGUGAGUAAUGUCUGGGAAACUGCCUGAUGGAGGGGGAUAACUACUGGAAACGGUAGCUAAUACCGCAUAACGUCGCAAGACCAAAGAGGGGGACCUUCGGGCCUCUUGCCAUCGGAUGUGCCCAGAUGGGAUUAGCUAGUAGGUGGGGUAACGGCUCACCUAGGCGACGAUCCCUAGCUGGUCUGAGAGGAUGACCAGCCACACUGGAACUGAGACACGGUCCAGACUCCUACGGGAGGCAGCAGUGGGGAAUAUUGCACAAUGGGCGCAAGCCUGAUGCAGCCAUGCCGCGUGUAUGAAGAAGGCCUUCGGGUUGUAAAGUACUUUCAGCGGGGAGGAAGGGAGUAAAGUUAAUACCUUUGCUCAUUGACGUUACCCGCAGAAGAAGCACCGGCUAACUCCGUGCCAGCAGCCGCGGUAAUACGGAGGGUGCAAGCGUUAAUCGGAAUUACUGGGCGUAAAGCGCACGCAGGCGGUUUGUUAAGUCAGAUGUGAAAUCCCCGGGCUCAACCUGGGAACUGCAUCUGAUACUGGCAAGCUUGAGUCUCGUAGAGGGGGGUAGAAUUCCAGGUGUAGCGGUGAAAUGCGUAAGAUCUGGAGGAAUACCGGUGGCGAAAGCGGCCCCC
rnacentral:rRNA from 1 species